GAGAUAUACCAAAAUGAAAUCAGAUUUUUCAGAGAAAACCAAGCAUGUUAAUGAGCUAAAGUUGUCAGUAGUUUCUUUGAAAGAAGUUCAAGACAGUUUGAAAAGCAAAAUUGUGGAUUCUCCAGAGAAGCUGAAGAACUAUAAAGAGAAGAUGAAGGACACCGUCCAGAAGCUCCGCAGUGCCAGGGAAGAAGUGAUGGAAAAGUAUGAUAUCUAUAGAGAUUCUGUGGAUUGCUUGCCUUCCUGUCAGCUGGAGGUGCAGUUAUAUCAAAAGAAAUCACAGGACCUUGCAGAUAAUAGGGAGAAACUAAGCAGUAUCUUAAAGGAGGUUUGUAUUGGGCAGUAUUUUGUCACGUGUGAUGGGCGGUUACAUCAUUGGAGUCACUUUCAUCUUGUUUAUUACCUUCCUAAGAAAAUCUAAACUUGUUCUGACGAGUCGGGCAUCUUCCCCCAAGCACUGGGGUGUCAAGACAUAUGUAACCUUCAGAUAAAGAUAACAGAUUAACAUAAUACAUGGUGGUUUAUGUUUUUUGGAAUUUAGUAAUGAGUAUUUUAGCUCAUCCUAACAUGUGAUCACUCAUCAUGAGUGGUAUAAAGUCCCAGCUUAGUUCCUAACAUUGCACCUCGGGUUAAUAGAGAGGUAAAGCUCGUCCUCUGGGUACAAAAGGUAGCACUGUCAUCUUGGUGUCUCAGAAGCUUAAAACCAUUUUCAGAUCUUAAUUCAGCCACUCCCAGGAUCACCAACAUUACAGUAAAAGUUUGUUGUUUUUGAGAAGGGGGAAGAGAAGAGGGAUGGGAGAGGGAGAGAGAUAGA
rnacentral:lncRNA from 1 species